UACGUAGGCAGCGAGCGUUGUUCGGAGUUACUGGGCGUAAAGGGUGCGUAGGCGGUUGGUUAAGUUUGGGGUGAAAUCUCCCGGCUCAACUGGGAGGGUGCGCCGAAUACUGAAUGACUAGAGUGCGGGAGAGGAUAGUGGAAUUCCUGGUGUAGCGGUGAAAUGCGUAGAUAUCAGGAGGAACACCGGUGGUGUAGACGGCUAUCUGGACCGUAACUGACGCUGAGGCACGAAAGCGUGGGUAGCAAACAGG
rnacentral:rRNA from 1 species